rnacentral:rRNA from 1 species
UACGUAGGGUGCAAGCGUUGUCCGGAAUUAUUGGGCGUAAAGAGCUCGUAGGCGGUCUGUCGCGUCGGCUGUGAAAACCCGAGGCUCAACCUCGGGCCUGCAGUGGAUACGGGCUGGCUAGAGGCAGGCAGGGGAGAACGGAAUUCCUGGUGUAGCGGUGAAAUGCGCAGAUAUCAGGAGGAACACCGGUGGCGAAGGCGGUUCUCUGGGCCUGUACUGACGCUGAGGAGCGAAAGCGUGGGGAGCAAACAGG